AUUGAACGCUGGCGGCAUGCUUUACACAUGCAAGUCGAACGGCAGCGCGGGCUUCGGCCUGGCGGCGAGUGGCGAACGGGUGAGUAAUGCAUCGGAACGUGCCCAGUAGUGGGGGAUAGCGCGGCGAAAGCCGGAUUAAUACCGCAUACGACCUGAGGGUGAAAGCGGGGGACCGAAAGGCCUCGCGCUAUUGGAGCGGCCGAUGUCGGAUUAGCUAGUUGGUGGGGUAAAGGCUUACCAACGCGACGAUCCGUAGCUGGUCUGAGAGGACGACCAGCCACACUGGGACUGAGACACGGCCCAGACUCCUACGGGAGGCAGCAGUGGGGAAUUUUGGACAAUGGGGGCAACCCUGAUCCAGCCAUGCCGCGUGCGGGAAGAAGGCCUUCGGGUUGUAAACCGCUUUUGUUCGGGAAGAAAUCCUCUGGGCUAAUACCCCGGGGGGAUGACGGUACCGGAAGAAUAAGCACCGGCUAACUACGUG
rnacentral:rRNA from 1 species